UAUCUGUUCUUAUCAGUUUAAUAUCUGAUAUCUUCUUGAUGUAAGAACUUUAUAUUAAAUGGACUUUUGCAACAGGGAGAUGGAAUAGGAGCUUGCUCCAUCCACUCCAUGCAUCAAUCUGGUAUUGCAGUACUUCCAGGUAUGGUGU
rnacentral:snRNA from 1 species